rnacentral:rRNA from 1 species
AGCGAACGUUUGCGGCGGGCUUAACACAUGCAAGUCGAACGGGCUGUUCCUUCGGGGGCAGUCAGUGGCGCACGGGUGCGUAACACGUAGGUAAUCAACCCUCUGGUUGGGGAUAACACUUCGAAAGGAGUGCUAAUACCCGGUAUGGCGCAGCGGUCUUCGGAUCGCGGCGAGAAAGACCCGCAAGGGUUGCCAGAGGACGAGCCUGCGGCCCAUCAGCUAGUUGGCGAGGUAACGGCUCACCAAGGCGAAGACGGGUAGCUGGUCUGAGAGGAUGAUCAGCCACACUGGAACUGAGACACGGUCCAGACUCCUACGGGAGGCAGCAGUGGGGAAUAUUGCGCAAUGGGCGAAAGCCUGACGCAGCCACGCCGCGUGAGCGAUGAAGGCCUC